rnacentral:rRNA from 1 species
CCUACGGGUGGCAGCAGUCGAGAAUCAUGCACAAUGGGGGAAACCCUGAUGGGGCGACGCCGCGUGGGGGAAUGAAGGUCUGCGGAUUGUAAACCCCUGUCAUGGGGGAGCAAAUUAAAAAGAUAGUACCACAAGAGGAAGAGACGGCUAACGCAGAGCCAGCGGCCGCGGUAAUACAGAGGUCUCAAGCGUUGUUCGGAAUCACUGGGCGUAAAGCGUGCGUAGGCUGUUUCGUAAGUCGUGUGUGAAAGGCGCGGGCUCAACCCGCGGACGGCACUUGAUACUGCGAGACUAGAGUAAUGGAGGGGGAACCGGAAUUCUCGGUGUAGCGGUGAAAUGCGUAGAUAUCGAGAGGAACACUCGUGGCGAAGGCGGGUUCCUGGACAUUAACUGACGCUGAGGCACGAAGGCCAGGGGAGCGAAAAGGAUUAGAUACCCUGGUAGUC